AUGUUUUAUUAAAAAAAAGAACUUACAGAGUAUUUAUACACAACUAUUUAUGAGGUUAUAAUCCUGUAGAUAGAGAGCAGUGGAGGCUGCCGGGAGGAGAUAUAGGAGGUUGGGCUCAUUGUAAUGGCUGGAAUGGUAUAAAUGGAACAAAGUUGUGGUUUCCAUAUGUUUGAUACCGUUCCAUUGAUUCCCUUCCAGCCAUUACAAUGAGCCCAUCCUCCUUAAGCUCCUCCCAGCAGCCUCCUCUGACAGAGAGCGUCUGUCUUGUGACAAGCAUGCCCACUUCACAAUGCAGAGUAAACGAGAGGAGAAAAUGUAGAAGAGAGGGGAUGAGGGAGGGAGGGAGGAAGAGGACUGAAAUUCACAUAAGACCAAGGACAGAUAAAAAAUUAAAAAACACCCUCGACUUUCAAGUAGUAGACAGGUACCAAAUACAGUUCCUACAAUGUUUUUUUGUUAAGACAUUUUCCAUGCCGUGUGUCCAAUGUCCCCUGUAGUGAAAGCAAUAGGACUGUGUCUGGGUGUGGUGCAUUCCACUCUGGAGAAGCACAAAGACAGAACGUGAGGUGCACAUGAUGAAUCGAGCCCCUCCACACCAGGUGCAUGCAAGACAAGUGCAUGGGAGAGGUGCAGUACAGUCAACACAGGGGUCAGGGGUGACGCCACGAAACAGGACUAGGGGGGGAGCCGAUGGUUGAUCAGAUGGAAGCCAGGCCUCUACUUUCCCCUCUAAUGUAAUAGUCUGGACAGAAGCCACCAGCUGAGUCCCUCAGUAAUGACUUCACUACCCACAAAGUGUGGUUGGGUGUGUGUGUGGGGCUAUGUACCACUAUGUGGUUUGGCCCCCUCCCACCUCGAUAUUACUUGGAACAGGUUGACUUGGACAGUGUUGAUUGUGUGUUGGGGGGAAAUUAGAUCUCACAUUGGGUCAGUGUUGAUAGUGUGUUGGGGGGGAAUUAGAUCUCACAUUGGGUCAGUGUUGAUAGUGUGUUGGGGGGAAUUAGAUCUCACAUUGGGUCAGUGUUGAUAGUGUGUUGGGGGGGAAUUAGAUCUCACAUUGGGUCAGUGCUGAUAGUGUGUUGGAGGAAAUUAGAUCUCACAUUGGGUCAGUGUUGAUAGUGUGUUGGGGGGGAAUUAGAUCUCACAUUGGGUCAGUGCUGAUAGUGUGUUGGGGGGGAAUUAGAUCUCACAUUGGGUCAGUGUUGAUAGUGUGUUGGGGGAAUUAGAUCUCACAUUGGGUCAGUGUUGAUAGUGUGUUGGGGGGGGAAUUAGAUCUCACAUUGGGUCAGUGCUGAUAGUGUGUUGGGGGGGAAUUAGAUCUCACAUUGGGUCAGUGUUGAUAGUGUGUUGGGGGGAAUUAGAUCUCACAUUGGGUCAGUGUUGAUAGUGUGUUGGGGGGGAAUUAAAUCUCACAUUGGGUCAGUGUUGAUAGUGUGUUGGGGGGGAAUUAGAUCUCACAUUGGGUCAGUGUUUAUAGUGUGUCAGGGGAAAUUAGAUCUCAUUGGUACACCUAUGGUCUAAUGUAUUUAAAAGAGCGAGGGGCUAAAAAUCUAAUCAAGCAGUAAAACUUUCACAAUCUUUUCAAAAAUAAUGUUGAAUCAAAGUUGCAACGGAAGCACACUCAUGUUUAUUGGAGAUUUUUGGAUUGUAAGUGUCAUUGAGUCCUCGACUUGGGAAUUAAAAACAAGCAGAAAAACAAAGGUUAUAAAUAGUCCUCAUCACUGAAUUAGUUUGGGGGGGGAAUAAAAAAAAAAGAGUGAAAGAAAACAAAACUGUUUCCCAUAGCAACAGACCACAGCUGAGUACAUGUCGUCUUUGGAUCACCCUGUUUGUGGGAACAUUGACACUUCUGCUUGAAAAUAAAACAACAUAGUUAUAACAAGGACAACACUCUUUAAAAAUACCAAAAUAUCACAUUUUCUCCCCUAUGCAAGUGUCCAAACACAAAAUGGCCUCCAUUGCCUUUCUCCACUUAUUCUGAUGGGAUUUAUUUCUCUGUCUUUUUCACUUUAGUACAAUACUGCAUAAAUGUGGAAAAAACAGAAUCAUUAAAUCCAAACUGAAUACUUAAAACAGAAAGAAAGUUCAAGUUCUAAUUCUCUUCAGCAUGACACAAUUUGGCUGAAGCCUAAGUACAUACACCUUUGUUUUAACAGCGGUGCCUGUAAAUGAUUAGAUUAAAAACGAGAAAGGAAAGCGAAGGUUUCAAUAUAGAGUGAAUAAAUAUAGGCAGCUCAGGAAACGGCAGAAGCCAAAUUGCAAAGUACUCUGCUGCGUAUCCUUGUGACAUCAUUCUGUUUUUGCAGGCUCCAUUUGGCCUGUGAGGAAACAUGGGAACCCCAAACCCACUUUCCUGUCUUACACCAGGCAAUGGAUUGGAACCCAAUCCAUAGUUGACCAUCUUUAUCCAGGAGCCUUGAACAGUCAAGCUUUUAGGGAACACUGAAAUUAAAAACAAGGAAAAACAUGGUCUCCCAUCCAAGCUCUAUCCCAAUGUGGCCUUGAUCACACUGCACAUUGUCUGAUACUUUCAUCGGGCCCAAUGCUUUUGUUUUGCACAGACUAUCAUACAUUCAGUCUAGUUUCUCCACCAGUCAAUUCAUUGCCAUUGUCUGGAAUCACUCUCACGUUGAUCUGUACAUCUCUGAAGGGGACCAGCAGGUAUAGAUCCAUGUUAUAUCUGAUGUAAACCCUACAAUGGACAUUACCUUCAAACUUAAAAUCAGCUAUUGUUGUUUUAGUUAUCAGACCCAUACAUGUCUUUAGUUGAAGACACCGCCCAGUAAACUAACUAUCGCUACAUCAAGUCAAAAACACAUAUCAUAGUUUAGCGCGAGCAAAAGGCAAAGUUGGUCAUUUCAACAAUGUUAGCCAAAAAAAGACCUGCAGAUAUCCCCCCCUGCAUUUUCCCCCCAUCUAAGAGUGAAGGGUAACCCAGGUAAAUCACUAAGCCUUGUACACAACGCAACUCAAUACUUCAGACAGUAGCCACACAAGCAGUACUACUUUAGUUGAGCCCUAUACUAGCCUAGCGCAAUACAGACCAACACAACAUCACUUCUGGAUCAUGCCCAAACUGUACAGAAUGAUGUCCCCCCCACCCAAAAAAAAUCCUGUCUUUGCCACCAAAAUAAACAAGGUCCAAAUCAUCUAGGAGGGAGGAGUUUGUAGGAAAUAAAACCUUGUGCUUUUAUUUUUUUUAUACAAAAAUGCUUCUUGUGAUUUUUUUCUACGUUCCUUUAACUUUUCUUUUCUUUUACAAAAACAGAUCAGAGGAGGAUCUGUUGGGUGUCUGUGCUGUAGCCAGUAAGGUCGGCCACUUCUACCUCACUUUCCAACACAUCAGCGUUCAAUCCCUCCUUCUGGGCAGUAUUCACCCCUAACAAACUUCAGUGGAUACAUAAUACCUAUGGCGUUCCAGGAAGUGACGUACUUUUCUAAAGGGGUACAGGUAUUCCGACAGCCACACCAGCUCGGACAGGCUCAGAGCGAUGUCAGCGCUUUGACUGACGCGCUGGCUGGGUUCAUAAGGCUCUAAUGAGAAAGGUGAAGUAUCACUGUACAAGCUAGGUGCUGCACACACACACCAUAGGCAGCUCCUAACCCCAGCCAAAUGAAAAGCACAAAUGACAAAUGAACACCAGAAAAACAACAUUGGUGAAAGAAAAUAGAUAUUGAAGCUGCAAUUCCCCUCUUUCAUAUUACUUUAAAAUACCCAAUCAUCUGUCUAGGAGGACAAGUCGACAGCCAACGCCAGCAGGGUGAUGUAUCCAAUUCAAAUCUAAUCCAGACAGGUACGAAUUCAGCUGAAGACAUGGACCAUAAUUGCCAUGACCAUGAACAUGACCUAACUCUCUAGUUCCUCUUCUUCAACACAUUCAUGAGAUAAAGAGAAGGGAAAUCCCCCGGUGCCCACCUCCCACCUCUUAUUCAGCCCAGCCCAUAGAGCUAGUCUCCAUUUUGUCCGGUUGUUGGUGCAGUGAGGGUAAGGCCGAAGGUCACCGGGUCAAAGGGGACAUUCCAACUACCGGUGGAAUGUGGGGACUGCUAAGUCCAACACACCUUUACAGGGAUUGAAGGAGGAGAACGCGACUGGGACAUGGCAAAAACACAAAGCAGGUGGUGUGUGAUAUACGCCGAGGCUUGAUAUCCACAAAAAUCCUUGUUUUAGCAAUAAUAAUAAUAAUAAUAAUAAAAUAAAAAAAU